UACGGAGGAUCCAAGCGUUAUCCGGAAUCAUUGGGUUUAAAGGGUCCGUAGGCGGUCUUAUAAGUCAGUGGUGAAAUCUCCCCGCUCAACGGGGAAACGGCCAUUGAUACUGUAGGACUUGAAUUAUUAGGAAGUAACUAGAAUAUGUAGUGUAGCGGUGAAAUGCUUAGAGAUUACAUGGAAUACCAAUUGCGAAGGCAGGUUACUACUAAUGGAUUGACGCUGAUGGACGAAAGCGUGGGGAGCGAACAGG
rnacentral:rRNA from 1 species